UACGAAGGGGGCUAGCGUUGCUCGGAAUUACUGGGCGUAAAGGGAGCGUAGGCGGAUAGUUUAGUCAGAGGUGAAAUCCCGGGGCUCAACCUCGGAACUGCCCUUUGAUACUGGGCUAUCUUGAGUAUGGGAGAGGUGUGUGGAACUCCGAGUGUAGAGGUGAAAUUCGUAGAUAUUCGGAGGAACACCAGUGGCGAAGGCGGCUCACUGGUCCGAUUACUGACGCU
rnacentral:rRNA from 1 species